GCCUUCCUACCAUCUGCCUCCACACGUAUGCCAACGCUAAAGUUUUUUGUUCCUUCCUUUAGGCACAUUAACUUGAAGAAGACCGGCUGUUUGUAAGGAAAGGAUGGCUUGGAUGAAAGAAUAUGGAAGGAAUUACGCUCACUUGCAGGAUGAGGAAAUGCAGGUUUGGACUCUCUUUCUCUCUCUCUCAGUGAGUCAACUGACAGCUGUGACAGCAGCACAGAGAUACACACAGAGGCACAUUGGAAAUGCAGUAGAAAACGGCUGCCAGUUUAAAAGCAGAAGUUAAGAAGCACAAACCCAAGCGUGCGGUGACAGGGCUUCAAGCUAGACCAGCUCCCAGCAGAAGUGAGUCCCAAGAUCAUGGAUUCUGUUGCCUCUUCUGUCUUCUGCGAAGUGGCAGAUGCCAGCACCUGGGCUUGAACUUGAUCAUGACUGUUUAUUUCCUAACCUUUUCUGG
ensembl:lncRNA